GACGAACGCUGGCGGCGCGCUUAACACAUGCAAGUCGAGCGAAGCGGCGGACGGGUGAGUAACACGUGAGUAACCUGCCUUAGACAUUGGGAUAGCCUCGGGAAACCGGGAUUAAUACCAAAUGGUCUAAGAUGGACUCGCGUCCCAUUAGCUAGUUGGUGGGUAACGGCCCACCAAGGCGACGAUGGGGAGCCGGGAGGAGAGGAUGAACGGGCACAUUGGAACGGAGAUACGGGCCAAACUCGACGGGGGGAAGCGGUGGGGAAUAUUGCACAGUGGAGGGAACGCUGAUGCAGCAGCGUAGGGUGGACGAAGAGGCCGUUCGAGUCGUGAAGUUCUUUUAUAUGGGAAGCGGUACCAUAAGAAAAAGCCCCGGCUAACUACGUGCCAGCAGCCGCGGUAAUAC
rnacentral:rRNA from 1 species